rnacentral:rRNA from 1 species
GUCGAACGAUGAACCUCACUUGUGGGGGGAUUAGUGGCGAACGGGUGAGUAACACGUGAGUAACCUGCCCUUGACUCUGGGAUAAGCCUGGGAAACCGGGUCUAAUACUGGAUACGACCUUCUGGCGCAUGCCAUGUUGGUGGAAAGCUUUUGUGGUUUUGGAUGGACUCGCGGCCUAUCAGCUUGUUGGUGGGGUAAUGGCCUACCAAGGCGACGACGGGUAGCCGGCCUGAGAGGGUGACCGGCCACACUGGGACUGAGACACGGCCCAGACUCCUACGGGAGGCAGCAGUGGGGAAUAUUGCACAAUGGGCGCAAGCCUGAUGCAGCGACGCCGCGUGAGGGAUGAAGGCCUUCGGGUUGUAAACCUCUUUCAGUAGGGAAGAAGCCGAUCUUUUGGGUUGGUGACGGUACCUGCAGAAGAAGCGCCGGCUAACUACGUGCCAGCAGCCGCGGUAAUACGUAGGGCGCAAGCGUUAUCCGGAAUUAUUGGGCGUAAAGAGCUCGUAGGCGGUUUGUCGCGUCUGCCGUGAAAGUCCGGGGCUUAACCCCGGAUCUGCGGUGGGUACGGGCAGACUAGAGUGCAGUAGGGGAGACU